rnacentral:rRNA from 1 species
GUCGAGCGAAGCACUGGACUGAUUCUCGGAUGAAGGCCUUGACUGAGCGGCGGACGGGUGAGUAACGCGUGGGGGAACCCUGCCCCAUACCGGGGGAUAACAGCUGGAAACGGCUGCUAAUACCGCAUAAGCGCACGAGGAGGCAUCUCCCUGUGUGAAAAAACUCCGGUGGUAUGGGAUGGACCCGCGUUGGAUUAGCCAGUUGCGGGGUAACGGCCCACCAAAGCGACGAUCCAUAGCCGGCCUGAGAGGGCGACCGGCCACAUGGGACUGAGACACGGCCCAAACUCCUACGGGAGGCAGCAGUGGGGAAUAUUGCACAAUGGGGGAAACCCUGAUGCCAGCGACGCCGCGUGAGUGACGAAGUAUUUCGGUAUGUAAAGCUCUAUCAGCAGGGAAGAAGACGACGGUACCUGACUAAGAAGCCCCGGCUAACUACGUGCCAGCAGCCGC